AAAAAAAAAGUAAUGAAUUUGCAGAAUCCAUUCCCUUUAGCAUGAGUUUUCAAAGGCAGACUUCAAGUGUGUUUACCUAUCUGGUAGGUUAAACGAGUUCACAUCCUUAAAGCUUAGGGCUGUGUUGUGGAUGUACACUCCUUGAGCAUGUGGGGAAGGAAGUUAGGCACUGACGUUUUUCCGGAAUAUUCCCUUACCCGAUGCCAAAUUUCCUAUUGCUAAUCCCUCAUCCUGAUCCCUUUCCUGGGGAGUCCUGCCUAAUACCAAACCUGUAGACUUUCUGUACAAGGGAUGUGGUCUGACAACACACAAGGUUUAUACUUUUUAAAAUGACACGAGGAAUUUUUGUUCCUGUCUUCCAGCAGGCU
rnacentral:lncRNA from 10 species